rnacentral:lncRNA from 1 species
CUGGGAUGUGCUCACCAGCCACAUCUGAUACAGGGCACACAGCAGGAAGACAAGAGAGAAGGGCACUUCCAAGAGACACUUCUGCUUCAGGACACUGCUGCUAGAAGGCAUGUUCCCUUCUACACCUGUGCUGGCUCUUUAUCCUUCUCCUGGCCUACCUGCAGUGGUUUGGUUGUAAAAAAAAAGGAGUGAAAGGCAUAAAUUGUUAUGCAGAAUCAAGCUGUACAGUUGUUGGAUUUCUGGAUUGUCUGGAAGGCUCCUCCAAGAAAGCUGACUGGGAAGACUGAGACACAGGCGUCACUACCAGGACAUUUCAUUCUGGAACAGUACAGAAACAGCCUCCCACACAAUAAAGCAGAGGAGGACUGUAAACAAGUGGAGCAGGUCUCUGAGGCAGUUUCCCUGAACAGCAGCAAUCUCUUUAUUCCAAUUGGAAAAGGAAAACAUCAGAAAGCUUCAGAAGUCAAGGGAAAAAACAAGCAGGAACAGACAGGAAAUAUGCUGUUAAAUAUAAGAUCUGGUACUACAAGACCUUGGGUGCCUCACUCAGGGAGAACAGAUAGCCUGUUCAGCCAGCAAGAAGCACCAAUUGAUGGGAAAGGAAGAAAAAAACAAAGAAGAAAAAGUCUCCUUUUGGAUCAUGAUAACCAGGUCAUGGCUGAUUUAUAA